GAUUUUAAAGGUUAAUUUUUUGAUCCUUUAGAGAGGCUGAAAAUAUUUUUAAAAAGAAUGUUAAGACAUAUAAAAAUAAGAAUAAUAAGACAUAUAUUAGCACCUAGAUAAUACUGUUUUAAAUACGGGACUCAACUGGAAAUGAAUUAGGAAAUUUUUUUUGAAUUGGUAAAAAUUGAGAAUUUUUUGAAAGCGAUACAGCAUGUCUUUAAAAAGGAAUGAAAGAAGACAGUCCCAAAGUAAAAUGUCCUGUAAGGAGUUUCGAGAAACUAAGUAUACCUGGGCAAUAUGCAGAGAGUUCCAAGUGGAGCAAAAAGAGAAAUUGGCAGAGGAGAAGGAAGGGUUGGUGAAAUGUCUUGAAGCUUCUCAUUCUGAAUAUGAAUUUAAUGUGUGUAGUAGGAAGCUACUAUAGGUUGCUCAGCAAGAAGGGGGUAAAAAUGAUUAUUUAACCAGUUCUUGAUGUUUCAAGGUAGAUGUUAGUAGAAAGAGGCUGGGGGUAACUGGAGUACUCAUGAAAUGACGCAUUUCUCAGUGAGAAUGGUGACUAAGAAAAGGGAAGGAAGAGCACAACUAAGUAAUUACACAAAGGAAUGAUUGUCAGGUGUUGGCUAUAAAUUAUGCAUAGGAAAAGGUGGAAAAAGAUGUAUUGAAGAAAAGCUCAAGAUACAGAGUAAGAGAGACCAAAGCAGCAUCCAGCAAUCAUUUUUUUGUGUGUAUGCACUUUAUUUGUUCUAAACCCUGUAAGGCCUUGCUACUUCAAGUGUGGUCCAAGGCCCAGCAGCAAGGGCUUUACCUGGGAGCUCAGGUAAAGCUCAGACCUUCC
rnacentral:lncRNA from 10 species